UGUUUGCAUUUUAUGGCAAGGACUGGGCAAAGAAUUCUUGGACUUGACACCAAAUGUCAUCUAUAAGAGGAAAAUUGAUAAAUUGGACUUCCCCCAAAUUAAAAAGUUUUUCUCUGCAAAAGAACCUGUUAAGAGCAUGAAAAGACAAGCUACAGACUGGGAGAAGUAUUUGCAAAUCACAUAUCUAAGAAAGGACUGGUAAUGGAAUAUAUGAAGAACUAUUAAAACUCAACAGUAAAAAUAAAUAAUUAGACUAGAAACUGGACAAAAGAGACAUUUCACCAAAGAGGAGAUACAGGUGGCAGAUAAGUGGAUGAAAAGAUGUUCAACAUCAUUAGUCAUUCAGGAAAUGUAAGUGAAAACCACAUGAGAUAUCACUACACACCUAUCAGGAUAGCUGAGGUAAGAGAAGAGUGACAAUAGCAAAUGAUGGUGAGAAUGUGGAGGAACUGGAUCUCCCCUACAUUGCCGGUGGGAAUUUAAAAUGGUACAGCCAUUCUGGAAAAAAGUUCGGCAGGGUAUUCUAAAACUAAACUUGUAACUACCAUACAACCUAGCAAUAUCAACUCCUGGGCAUUUAUCUCAGAGAAAUGAAAACUAUGUUCACAUCGGCUCAGCCAGGGAUAGAGAUGAACUUGCAAUUUUAUUGAAAAGGGGUCACCAGUGGGUAGAAAUUCAAGAAGAUAUGUGGAUUUCAUGGCAGAGAACUGAAAUGUAUCUUCAAAUGAUCUAAUUCAUCUGUAUAGUAGGAGAUGUAGAAACUGAAAGGAAAGGUGACAAUUUAUGACACUUAAGGCAUGAGUGAGGCCUGAACAUUUACGAGUCAUGGAAGAAUUAUCAAGAUAUAGUAGGACAUGAGAUAUUUAUAAAAAGCCAUUGGGAGAUUUAGGACACUGCAGUUAGACUGGGUCAGUAUCCUAAUCCUGUGCUGUGACAGAUGCAGCCGGGGGAAAGGGAGAUACCUAGAGUCAUCUGGGAUUGGGGUCUCGAUCAGAUGUGAAAAGUCAGGUGGCAUGAGAUCUGCUAAUUUUGGCACAAAUAUGUUGAAAUGAAUAAGUAUGGGUUAAACAGGGUCAGUAAAACUGAGGAAAAGUGGGGGCUGUUUGAGAAGGUGGUCAGUGGAGGUUACCACAGUGAGAGGACCUGGCAUGGGGAGUAACUCUGUGAACAGGCUGAAAGGAGAAGGGUUGUGAGGGGAGGGAGAGGUUUCUGGUCAUUGACCUGGGAGGUGACAUAUCCAGGUAAAACCUGGGUCUGGGUGUAGGUAAAACUCCUCAAGAUGAGCACAUUUAAUUAUUUGAGAUUCAGAGACAGGCAGAGCUGAAAUUCCAGCUCUGUCAUUUUGUAGUCAUGUGAUUUUGCCAUAUCAUUAAGGUUUCUGAACCAGUUGAUGUCAUUUGUAAAUAGGUAACUAACCCAUAAUCAGUACCAUUAUUAAGGGGAUUAAACAAGCAAAUCUAUGUAAUUGCAGUUGCUGGGUCUCAAUUUAUUUAUCAGAUCAUGUUUUCUCUACUCCAGACCUCAAGCUCAAAGAGUUGUGAUCCUAACCUUGUUCAUAACAUAUUGUCAUAAUUUGUCCCUGCCAUACGUUUAUUAACAGUGUUUUGAGUAAUACUUGACAGUUGGAGGAUGCCUCCAUAGACGUCAAUUAUGACAUGAAGGGAUGCUCCUGUUGAUGACAAUUACUAGGGCAGAGCUCCAGCUGCCAUUUCACUACAGUAUCUGAAAUGCUCAACUAAAUUCCUUCACUCUAUGACUUAUGAGACUUCCUGCCCUGUGGGCAGCAUGGGACACAAGAGUAGUAUUACCAUGUAUGUACUGUGGCUUCUGUCCUGUACAAGGGAAUUUUAGUGCUAUAUUUACAUGAUGAAAGUCAUUGAACCCUCCAAUAACAGAAGAAUCUUUGAAUCAUUGCACACUGCCAUUCAACAGUCUCCAAAGUAGCCUGGUCACAUAUCCAGGGAUGUGGAGGCUAGAGCUAGGUUUCCACUGAUGUUGCCUGAAUCCCCAUGUGGAGGAGCCACAAUGAUUGAGAGCAAGUGUAUGCAGAGGGUGGUGACAGAGUACAGAGGGAGGGUGUGGGCCACUAGGGGCUAGUGUUGGUAUUGUAAAAGAAAUGCUAAUGCACCUAGUCAAGAGGUAUUAUAUCAGAAAUCCUAUAAUGGUGCCCUUGGCUGUGGAUACAAGAAUCUCCAUGUAACAUAAGUCAGGUUCUUCUAGGAUUUGGCAUCAGGGAAGAAAUUAAAUAAAACCUCUACCAGGUCUAAUGAAAGUAUAAAACCAUAAAACGCUAUUGGCUUUCAACGUUUUAUCUGUAAAACGAGGAUAUUAGUAUCUUCCUUAUGAUCAUAGUAGCUAAAGCCUUCUCACUGUGACCCUAGGGAAAGAGACUGCUUGCCGGUUUGUCUUAGGUCAUUCUUCAUGCAACUGUGGUUUGAGUGGGCAGAUUCACCACCACGUGAAGGUUUAGGAUCUCAUGACCGGUGUAUGUACAAGUAGUGGAAAAGACUGGAGUCUCGUGGCUUCUUUUUCUUUCCUCAGCUUUGUCUGCUUAGUUAUCAGACUGUCGCACGAUGAGAAUACUACUAAAGACAGGGGGCAGGUGAGUUCUUGAGAAUGCAACCACAGGUGAGGAGGAACUGGCUCUUAACUCCAGACUUGACACUUCUGUUACCAGCAGAUGGGUAGGUUUCUCCUGUUGGCCUGAUCUUCUAAGUGCACCCAGGAAAUAUUGGUGUGUUAUGUUCCACUAGGAUUCUGGGAGGCUUAUGGCAGGUCCAGGACUGAUCAAUAAAUAAUCUUCUUCCUACCUUUACACUGACUUAGUCAAUUCUCCGUUAAGGAUGUCCUUGCAGAGAAGAGAUGUGAAUGCUUGUUUUUUUUUUCAAAUUCACCCCAUAGCUUUGGUGGGGUGCUUCAUUAUAAAGGAAUAUCACAUGACGUGCAGUGCACUCAUUAUCCGUGUUAGUGGCUACAGUGGCCUUAGGCAUGUGGUUAACACAGGCGUAGAGAUGGGUAAGAGUAAAGGUUCUGUUCCAGUAGGGGGUGGUAGUCCAUCAAGUGAGUUCAAUCAAUCCAGUGUCACAGGGGCUGAAGUGGAGGCUCUGCAGCACUGAGGUGGUGGGGUGAAGAUAGAGUUGGACCAGAGAGAGCAAUGAGGAAUCAUUUCUUUAUAUUCACCAAUUUUAAAUUUACUCAAGUUUUAUAAAAAAUACUUGAACAUUUUUAUAACUUAAAAAAAGGAUAACUAAAAUUCUCCUUACCCCGCUUCCUAAAACCCAGUUUGUCUCUUUGUCAUUAACUUGUGAUCAAACUUGAAAACUGAACACAGUGUGUGGAGAGUAUUUUCUUAAUUUUGGCUGUGUGUUGAGGAGAAGGAGUAUAGAAGAUACAAUAAAAUAUCAGAUUCUGUAGCCAUUUUGGGGGGACUGGAGUGACCACAUACAACUGAGAGGCUUCUAUUACACAUUAGCAGAUGGAUAGGAUUAAACUACAAGAGAGACAAUAACUGCUGCCUGGAGGUCCCAGAGAAAAUUGGCAGUGGAAACCUCACUGUGGGAUAGGUCAGGCUAGUGCCAUCCUUCCGUGUAGAAUGAUCAGGGACCCUUGCAUUGUGUUUCUGGACCAUCUGUCCUUCUACCUCGCAGUGAACACAGGAAACGUAUAGAGAUAAGAGAGAGAGGCAGCACCUGCUGAUCAACGUUCUCUGUUGUCUUUUCAGUUCUGCAGAACAGUCGGCAUCGCUUCAUCAUUCUCCACCUUUAAAUAAUAAUACACUAAUUACUUAUGUGUAUUGAGUGUUUGUUAUAAAGGAAGUGCUUUGCAAAUUCGCUCAGUGGAUCUCUCGGUUUUUUUGUAACAGGUUUGUACAGGUUGUUAAACCUGUACAGGUAGUUUUUUGUAACAGGUUGUUAAACCAUUUCACAAAGGAGAAAUGUAAGGUUCAUAAAGAGGCAAUGUUUACACAUAAUCAGUUAUUUGUCACAGGCAGUGGGUGUUGCUUGUUUUGUGAUGAGUCUGUGAUUUACUUGAAUUGUUAAGAAGGAGAGUUUAGUUAUGUAUUCUCAAGAUAAAAACUUAUAACAAUAUACUAUAUUAUGUAUACCAGUCUGGAAGAGAGAUUUACCACGUUUUGGGGAAAUGUCCAGGUUAUUUCACCCUGCACGUCAUGUGAUAUUCCUUUAUAAUGAAGCUAAUAUGUAUUAAGGCUGUGUACAUACUGUGUAUAUCUUUGUGGGUAUGCAUGAACAGCACAUUCCAGAUCAGCACAGGGAAGCAUUUGACUGGAACCCCAAACAGGGUUUGAGCUUUCUACACCUACAGCCCCCUUUCCCCAGCACUCUCCUAUCAACUAUCUGUCCUGGAACCUUGAUGGAUCUGGUCCUCUCUGAAUCAGAAUGUCCAUGAUGUUUUAGGAAUCAGUGACCUUCAAGGGUGUGGUUGUGGACUUCCCCCAGGAAGAGUGGGCUUUGGUGGACACAUCCCAGAGGAAGCUGCACAGAGAUGUGAUGCUAGAGAACAGUCAUCUUGUCUCUGUGGGCAAGAGAAGUGACCUUUACAACCAAGACAUGAUACCUAUACCAGAUACCUGCAGGAAGAACCCAUCUCACUGCAUGCCAAUGCAGAAAUCUCACACUGGGGAGGAACUCACUGAAUAGAAUGCCUGAGAUGCCUUCACUCACAGAUUCACAGUGACUUAACAAGUGUGAAAUCACACUGGCCCAGGAGGCCCACCUUCAUAAGCUGUUGGAGCAACUAAGGCAGCAAAGCCAUGAGCAAACACUGAAGUUUCACCUGAAAAGACCGAAGAUUUUGUCAAGAACAGGAAAUCCAGGUAGGCUGACCAGAUCCCAAAAGACAGAAGGGGAUGGCCUAGAAUCCAUAUUUAAGGUCAGAGUUAGCCUGCUUAGGAGCCCAGGGGUGUGCCCAGGAAGCUCAAGACGAAACUCUUGCUCUAACUUUGGAGAAUGGUGUGUUCCUUUGCUGCUCUGCUCUCAGCGAACUCAGAAGCUCCCAGGGAGGAGUUUCAUCUAAAAAGCUUAUGGAGGGGGCUUCAAGGCCUUGUAGUUCAAAAGUCAAGAGUGUGGGUCCUCCCCCACCUUUUAAAAAUUUAAACAUUCAUGCUCUUUGUUAAAGAAAAUAAAGUCACCCAAUACAAACAUGUAGAAAUUUCCCCCUAUUCCUGCCCAACUCUUUCUUCUUAUGGACAUAUACAUUUAUAUAUUCAUGCAUCACUUUACCACAGGGAUCCUUUCUGAGAAAUGCAUCAUUAGGGGAUUUUGUCAUUGUGUAAACAUCAUAGAGUGUACUUACACAAGCCUAGGUGGUAUUGCCUACUACACACCUAGGCUGUGUGGUGCUAACCUUGUGGGAUCAUCAUCAUGUAUGUGGUCUGUCAUUGACCAAAACCUUGUUACGCGACACAUGCCUGUAUAUGGAUAUGUGCACAUACAUGAUGCUUUUUACAUAAAGAUUGGAAAAUACUAUGCAAAUUGUUCUAUAACUGCAGAUAUAUUUCUAUUUUAAAUGACCAUUUAGAAUUCAUUCAUAUGGAUGCUUCAUAAUGAUUUAACUAUCCUCCAAUUGAUUGGCUUUUUAAGAUUGGUUUUAGUUUCUUAAUAUGAGAAAUAGUUCUCUGUGAACUUCCUAGUAACUUUGUGCCUUUGUACAACUGAUUCUGUAAGGAACAUCCACAGAAAUGGAAUUGUGCUGCCAAUUGAUUGCAGUACUUCGAUUCGUAAGUAUAAUGAGGCAAAUGAGUCACCCCCUGAGCCUGGGUCUCCUCACCUAGGAAAGAGGGAAAUGUCUGGGCCUUGGGACAUUGGGGGGUUUGAUGGGAUAAUGUAGGUAAAAGUCAAGGACAGGAUUGUGACAGUGGACAGAAAAUUGAAACUCUUAUCACAACAAGCAGAAACCGCUCUCGUGUGUGUUUUCCAGUUGUUCUACAAAAUGUAUGUGUUCUUUGUAUGAUCAGAAAGGUUGCAAAACUAACCUAGGACUGUUAUUGUAAAAGGAAACCCACUCAGCAGCUCUAGGUUUAGCCAAAUGCCAGGUUCCAGCCCCCUCAGUGGGAUCAGGGUGUGGCUGCCCCCCUUAGACAGUGGUCUCACCUACCUACCUUUCAGGUAAGAGUGUUUUCAUGUCCUUCUGAUAAAGGAAGUGAUGGAGUCCCCAGUGAUCAUAUUGAAAGAUAAUACCUACAGCUAUACUCUCAGCAGAAACUUCUUAUUCAUGAAAUCUUUGAACAGGUAUGAAGAGGAAUACAAAAAAACCCAGAAAAUCACCAGGAAGCAAGAAGAAGAAGAUGACUUCAAGUUCUGAGCUGUCUUGACUUUGAACACCUUCCCAAACCCAUGCAGAGCUCAAAUCUAUGUCAGAACAUAAAGGAGUCAGAGCUGAAAGUGUAAAAGAGACCAUCUCUUUCUCACUUCACAAGAGGUAGAGGACUCAGAAUUCAGGGUUCAAGGCUUGGAUGGAAUUAUAUGGAAAGACUAAUUUAUGUGACACUUUUAGUUCCAAUCAUCAAACAUACCACUGCCAUGGAACCCUCCUAAACUACAGCUCUGAGCUAUCCACUCUCCUGCUCACAAGACCCUCCCCAACUGUGCAGCCCCAACCAAAUCCAGCCCACAGUCCCUACUUGACCGCAGAGGCCCCACACUCUGGUUCCCACCUUGACUUUCCCCACUGCAGCAAACUCCUCCCUCUUCCUGCAUAUGCCCCCUGCCUACCUGCCCUUCCUCAUCAUGCUCCUCUGUGGGGAUCCUUCUGUCUCCACAUGGCCAAACCCAGCCAUUCUUCCAGGCCACCACCAGUGGCAAGUACCCCAUCGACUCAGCCUGGCCCCUCAUCUCACCUUCCUCACCCACUGUCACCUCUCCUUUCUCUAAACAUGCUUAUAUGUUGGUUGCUGUCAAAUACAGGAGUUCAGAGCAUCCAAAUAGAAUAUGUUUCCUGAAAGGCAGGUAUGACUUAACUUAUUUUGAUUCAACUUCGAUUGCCCUUAGCACAGUGUCUUGCACAUAAUUCAGACACCAGGAGUGCUCCUUGGGUAAAUGCAUGAAUUCUAGGAAUGUCCUGGUCUGACUCUCCCAAAGUUUUGCUCUUUUCCCACACACGCAACCAGAGUUCUGCAUGGUCAGAGCUGAAAACAGUUGUGGUUGACACUGAUCCUGGCUUAGGGUUUCCCAUAUAUAUGGGAUAGCUGACCUCCUCAGAGAGUCCCUCCCCUUGGCAGGGGUCCCUCUUCUAAUUGCUAAUUAACAUUGCCUAUGCCAACUUCUGGAACAAGUGAUCGUUCCAUCCAGACUAGUUUCAAAAGUAACCAGUACAUAGAAAACCCAUUUAUUCUCCUUCUUUCAUCCUGGGUUUUAUGAACAAGGUGAAAUAUUGUUACAGAAUAUUGGACUGAUUUUAGCUGCAAAAAUAAAAAGUGUAGGUAAUUGUGGGAAGGGGUGAAAAACAUGAUAAAAAAUAGGAAAUGUGCAGGAAUGAUGAACAGUUAGUGAUAUCUCUGUCCUGACACCCGGUGACCUGCUGGCUUGGUCCUUGUGCAUUUAAAACAGUAUUUUCCUGAGAGGAAGUCAAGAUGGCGGCGUAGGCAGACUCUGAACUCACCUCGUCCCACGGACA